AUGGCUGCUGAAGGUGAGUAUGAAAUUAGAUUCUCUAGCUUGCCUUCUGCACCUAGAAGCAGCUCAGUUCGGGUCCAUGGCAGCCAGUAUUCACUAGGGGAGGGAAGUGGGCCAGAGAGUGGAAAAUGUCAGUGGUUCCCAAACGUAGGUCAGCACCUAUCGGUCAUUGCUCUGAUAAGCUCAUAACAUGGUGGUAGCAAACAAUCCUGAAUCGUAACACAGCAAAAUGGUAUUUCUCACUCAAGACUAUAUGACCAAUAGCGUUAGCAGGGAGUGUGUGUGUGUGUGUCUUGCUCAUUGUAGUUUCCUGGGUACUGAGGCUGAAACAAUAUGUCAAAGGUAAGUAAAUCAGGGCUUCAGGUACAUCAAAGAUAAGUACAUCAGGGGAAGAGGCUGGGAAGAACUACUUACUGGCUUUGAAGCCUCUGCCUGAAAGUAACACAUGUUACUUCUGCCUACAUUUCAGUGGUUAUAGCAAGUCACAUGGUCAUGCUUGCCUUCAAAAGAGGCAGGAAACUGCAAUCCUACCACAAGAUUAGAGCAGAGAAAUGGAACAUUUGUGAUCUCUCUGAGAACCUCCACAGACCUCAAGAUUCGGAUUCAUUAGAUUUUCCCCAAGUCAUUCUAAGUCUCUCCUACAUUUGGAAACCUCUGAUCUACCCAGUUCAUCUUUGGAGGAACUUCUUA
rnacentral:lncRNA from 10 species